UACGAAGGGUGCAAACGUUGCUCGGAAUUAUUGGGCGUAAAGCGCACGUAGGCGGCUUAGCAAGUUGGAUGUGAAAUCCCUCGGCUCAACCAAGGAAGUGCAUCCAAAACUGCUGAGCUUGAGUACUUAAGAGGAUCGCGGAAUUCCCGGUGUAGAGGUGAAAUUUCGUAGAUAUCGGGAGGAACACCAGUGGCGAAGGGCGGCGAUCUGGGGAAGAUAACUGACGCUGAGGUGCGAAACGUGGGG
rnacentral:rRNA from 1 species